GACGAACGCUGGCGGCGUGCCUAAUACAUGCAAGUCGAACGCAGUGGGGACGGGUGAGUAACACGUGGGUAACCUCCCAUCAGAGGGGAUAACACUUGGAAACAGGUGCUAAACCGAUACUGAUGGAUGGACCCGCGGUGCGUGAGCUAGUUGGUUAGGUAACGGCUCACCAAGGCCACGAUGCAUAGCCGACCGGAGAGGUGGAUCGGGCACACUGUGACUGUGACACGGCCCAGACGCCUACGGGAGUCAGAAGGAGGGAAUCUGCGGAAAUGGACGAAAGUCUGACCGCGCAAUGCCGCGUGAGUGAAGAAGGUUUUCGGAUCGUAAAACUCUGUUGUUAGAGAAGCGGUAUCUAACCAGAAAGCCACGGCUAACUACGUGCCAGCCGCCGCGGUAAUAC
rnacentral:rRNA from 1 species